AAGUGCGGCAGCGGCUGCGGCGGGUAAUUCUUUUUCUUGGAAAAAUAUUGUCUCCUUUACCAAACAUCUCUUUAAGGGUUACUCUAUAAUCUUUUCUCCACCGUCUUCUUGAAUUCUUGCAGAUGUGGUAUGUACCCUGACAUCGUAGAGAACACCAGAACUGAGACCCUCAUUGCAGGAGUUGCACCUCCUAAGAAGUAGGCAUCACUAUGACAAUUUUUUGGUUUACUGGAGGAUUUGGAUUUUAGAGCUUACUCAAGUUUGGAAAUUUUUCAUGCACCCAAAAGAGGGGGAAAAAAAGAUAAUCAACGUUAGAUUCUUGAUUAUACAAAGAGGACGAAAUUAAUUGACUGCUGCUAUACUUUUGCAGGUUCUAUGAGGGUUCUGAGAUGA
rnacentral:misc_RNA from 1 species